UGCAUUUUUUACAAAUUGAAGGCAAUACCCUCCACCAGCAAAAAGAUUAUGACUCACUUUAUUGCAGCGGUCUGGAACGUGAACCUGCAAUAUCUUAAGCCAUGCAAUGACAU